rnacentral:tRNA from 1 species
GCCGUUCAUAUCCGCAGGUCAAGGACACUUUUCCGUCAUCAUCAUCAAAUGUCAAUAUCGCUCAAAAACCACUUCGGACGCUCUCCUAAAGCGGUUGUCGUGCGUUCGAAUCGCACCGGGGGCGCCA